rnacentral:rRNA from 1 species
AUAUUAAAGUUGUUGCGGUUAAAAAGCUCGUAGUUGGAUUUCUGCCGAGAACGACCGGUCCGCCCUCUGGGUGAGCAUCUGGCUCGGUCUGGGCAUCUUCUUGGAGAACGUAGCUGCACUUGACUGUGUGGUGCGGUAUCCAGGACAUUUACUUUGAGGAAAUUAGAGUGUUUCAAGCAGGCGCACGCCUUGAAUACAUUAGCAUGGAAUAAUAAUAUAGGACCUUAAUUCUAUUUUGUUGGUUUCUAGAGUUGAGGUAAUGAUUAAUAGGGAUAGUUGGGGGCAUUCGUAUUUAACU